rnacentral:rRNA from 1 species
GUGUCAGCAGCCGCGGUAAUACGAAGGGGGCGAGCGUUGUUCGGAUUUACUGGGCGUAAAGGGCGCGCAGGCGGCGGACCAAGUCAGGCGUGAAAGCCCCGGGCUUAACCUGGGAGGUGCGUCUGGGACUGGUAUGCUAGAGUUCGGGAGAGGAGAGUGGAAUUCCCAGUGUAGAGGUGAAAUUCGUAGAUAUUGGGAAGAACACCGGUGGCGAAGGCGGCUCUCUGGACCGAGACUGACGCUGAGGCGCGAAAGCGUGGGGAGCAAACAGGAUUAGAAACCCCCGUAGUCC